UGGUGAUGUGUCUUCUUCAUGGCUGAGCCAU
rnacentral:piRNA from 1 species